GUGGCUGUCAUACCUCGUUUAUACAUGGUUUCCAUUUAAUUUGCAGAGCAUAUCUCACACUAACACAGGACAGGGCAAUUCUGCCAGCACCUCUCCCACUGAUUCGGAGCAUCUCAAUGAAGAAUGAUGGACCGAAGCCCUCUCAGACCUGAGCCAGUCAUCAAAUAUUUCCUAUCAUGUGCUAUACAUUAUGGCAGAAGCUGGAAACACAAUGGUGAGCAAGAUAACCAGAGAUAGAUAACCGAACAUGCAGGAUGCCUGACCGUACCGCUGUACCAAGCUUCACGAACUGAUGACCAUUAAUCCACCCUUGCAGCUGAUGAUCGCACCCUGCUAGCUCAUCGGAAGAACUUCCAGGCUUUCUGUCUCACCCUUGUACCUCCUGCUUGUGCAUCCUAUAAAAGCCCUAGACCAUCAGAGAUCAGGGUCUGAUAUCCUGGGAAGGAUCUUGAUCAGUGCCUGUCAACAUAAAUAAAUUUGCCUCCAAGUCCA